CAGUAGCCGCGGGAAUACCAGCACCUCGAGUGGUCAGGAGGUUUAUUGGGCCUAAAGCAUCCGUAGCCGGUUGCACAAGUUUUCGGUUAAAUCUAUGCGCUUAACGUAUAGGCCGCCGAAAAUACUGUGCAGCUAGGGAGUGGGAGAGGUACACGGUACUCGAUAGGAAGGGGUAAAAUCCUUUGAUCUAUUGAUGACCACCUGUGGCGAAGGCGGUGUACCAGAACACGUUCGACGGUGAGGGAUGAAAGCUGGGGGAGCAAACCGGAUUAGAUACCUCGGUAGUCCCUGUCUCUUAUAC
rnacentral:rRNA from 1 species